AUGAGCCCAUAGGCAAAAGGGACAGCUGUGAGAAGGAAAAUCCAACCGUGCCCAGAGGUCGAGGCGCCCGGCGCGAUCUCCCACACUCCACCACCCCGCGCACCCCGGGACUCCGGCGCUCGGCUCGCCCUUCUGCCCGACGCCCUUCCCUGUGUAGCCACCUGCACUUCUGCACACAGGUGACCAACGCGAGGAGCUCUUCUCCGGGCACGUCUUCCCUGACGCUACCUUUCUUCGCAGCGUUUGUCAGCAAGACAGCAUUCCUGCCUGAGGUGCGAGUUCCGCCCCGGGAGGGAAGCCCCGGCCUCCUGUUCCCCGCGCCGCGCAGCUCCGUGUGCUGCAGCCUGGUGCGUGGCUCCGGAUCACAGCGGGACGACGGGCCCGACACCAGGUGUUCUCCACUGCUUCCAGGUUCACGUGUACACCAUGGGAAAGGAAUUAGCAAUCAUGGAGACUACCAGAAAGUGAUCUGGAAAGAAUAAGCAAGGGUAUUUCUCGAAGAUUCAAACUUGCAAUAGAUGACCCCACCCGCCCCUUGCAUACCCGUGACACUUUCCAGCUGCCUUCAUCUGCUUCUCCCCUGGCGGAUUGCCAGACACCGACUAUUAACAACCUCCCUUGAGUUUGGCUGCCAGUGGAUUUAGCCAAAGAGCAGUUCCAUAGGACACUGGAGUCAGGAAGAACAAAGGCAUCAGCUGCCUGGGACCCUGGUCCUGCCCUGCAGAAGCUCAUGCUGUAAGACUCUCUCCUUCACAUUCUGGAACUGCUACCAUUAGUUGCCCCUUUCAGACAAAUAAUGACAGCUUUUAUAAAUAGUCCAUAUCUGUGAAAAUAAUUACUUUGUUAAACUCUCUUCAAAUUCCUUAUUUUGAAUACAAAUCUGGAAGAGUUUUAAAACUCUACCUUUCACUUCUACAGCAAAGGACUAGUAAUCUAUUCCUUGCUUUAGCCACUUUUUCCAUGUAAAUGUCCUACAUUCACUCCCACAAUUCAAGCAUUUCCACAAAUGUGUAUUUGAUUCUUCCUGUGUGUGUGUGUGUGUAUAUAUCUUCCAAAUGUAACUCUAAUUUAUUACCUACUUUCUUCUAUCCCUAUG